rnacentral:rRNA from 1 species
GUCUGCUGCCAUGCCACCCUGAAAAAGCCUGAUGUCUGAUCUCAGAAGUUAAGCAGGGUCGGGCCUGGUUAGAACUUGGAUGGGAGACCACCCAAGAAGACCAGGUGCUGUAGGCA